rnacentral:rRNA from 1 species
GUAGGGGAGCGUUCUGUAGGCUGAUGAAGGUGCAUUGAGAAGUGUGCUGGAGGUAUCAGAAGUGCGAAUGCUGACAUGAGUAACGAUAAUGUGGGUGAAAAGCCCACACGCCGGAAGUCCCAGGUUUCCUGCACGACGUUAAUCGGAGCAGGGUGAGUCGGCCCCUAAGGCGAGGCUGAAGAGCGUAGUCGAUGGGAACCAGGUUAAUAUUCCUGGACUUUUUAUAAGUGGUGAAGUGGGGACGAAGAAGGCUAGGUGAGCCAGGCGUUGGUUGUCCUGGUACUUGCAUGUAGGGGGGAAGACUUGGCAAAUCCGGUUUUCCAUAACUCUGAGGUGCGAAGUGGUUCUGACCUUUUGGUACAGAGAAGUCAUUGAUGCCCGGCUUCCAGGAAAAGCUGCUAGCCAUAACUUAUAGAGAACCGUACCGCAAACCGACACAGGUGGACAGGUAGAGAAUACUAAGGCGCUUGAGAGAACUCGGGUGAAGGAACUAGGCAAAAUGGUACCGUAACUUCGGGAGAAGGUACGCCCUUUUGGGUGAGGGCAUUUACUGUCUGAGCUUAAGAGGGCCGCAGAGACCAGGUGGCUGCGACUGUUUAUUAAAAACACAGCACUCUGCAAAUUCGUAAGAAGACGUAUAGGGUGUGACGCCUGCCCGGUGCCGGAAGGUUAAUUGAUGGGGUUAUCUUCGGAGAAGCUCUUGAUCGAAGCCCCGGUAAACGGCGGCCGUAACUAUAACGGUCCUAAGGUAGCGAAAUUCCUUGUCGGGUAAGUUCCGACCUGCACGAAUGGCGUAACGAUGGCCACACUGUCUCCACCCGAGACUCAGUGAAAUUGAAAUCGCUGUGAAGAUGCAGUGUACCCGCGGCUAGACGGAAAGACCCCGUGAACCUUUACUAUAGUUUUGCACUGGACUUUGAUGAUGACUGUGUAGGAUAGGUGGGAGGCUGUGAAGUGAGGACGCUAGUUCUCAUGGAGCCGCCCUUGAAAUACCACCCUGUUGUUAUUGAGGUUCUAACUUGGUCCAGUAAUCCUGGAUGAGGACAGUGUAUGAUGGGUAGUUUGACUGGGGCGGUCUCCUCCCAAAGAGUAACGGAGGAGCACAAAGGUACCCUCGGUACGGUCGGACAUCGUACCAAGAGUGUAAAGGCAAAAGGGUGCUUGACUGCGAGAGUGACGGCUCGAGCAGGAACGAAAGUUGGUCUUAGUGAUCCGGUGGUUCUGAAUGGAAGGGCCAUCGCUCAACGGAUAAAAGGUACUCCGGGGAUAACAGGCUGAUACCGCCCAAGAGUUCAUAUCGACGGCGGUGUUUGGCACCUCGAUGUCGGCUCAUCACAUCCUGGGGCUGAAGCAGGUCCCAAGGGUAUGGCUGUUCGCCAUUUAAAGUGGUACGCGAGCUGGGUUUAGAACGUCGUGAGACAGUUCGGUCCCUAUCUGCCGUGGGCGUAGGAAAAUUGAGAGGAGCUGCUCCUAGUACGAGAGGACCGGAGUGGACGAACCUCUGGUGCACCGGUUGUCACGCCAGUGGCAUGGCCGGGUAGCUAAGUUCGGACGGGAUAACCGCUGAAAGCAUCUAAGCGGGAAGCCUCCCUCAAGAUGAGUUUUCCCAUGAAGCCCGUUGAAGACUACGACGUUGAUAGGCAAGGUGUGGAAGCGCAGUAAUGCGUGAAGCUAACUUGUACUAAUUGGCUGAUUGUCUUGACCAU